UACGUAGGGGGGCAAGCGUUGUCCGGAUUUAUUGGGCGUAAAGAGCGUGUAGGCGGCCAGGUAGGUCCGUUGUGAAAACUGGAGGCUUAACCUCCAGCUGUCGAUGGAAACCAUCUGGGCUAGAGUCCGGAAGAGGAGAGUGGAAUUCCUGGUGUAGCGGUGAAAUGCGCAGAUAUCAGGAAGAACACCCGUGGCGAAGGCGGCUCUCUGGGACGGUACUGACGCUGAGACGCGAAAGCGUGGGGGAGCGAACAGG
rnacentral:rRNA from 1 species